UGUAACAAGGCUAAUGUUUGCAAACUACUGUUGAAGGUCCAUUCAGUCUGGCGGAUUUUAAACACCUCCAUGCGAGGGAAGGAGCAUCCCAAUUCCAGAUGUGAAUGUGGAAUAUAUUAAAAACCGCAGGCAGUGCUGCUAGUUCUGUAUUUAGACAAGGGGUUGUUAGGCAGAAGCUAAAAGCAUGGACUUUUAAGGAAGCUACUGUUAACAUCCAAGAGGCCCUCUACAGCCUGAUGCUAUUAGUGUUUGCUAAUUUCUUUAAGAAUUGAAAAAAAAAAAGAUCUGAUCUACUAAUCCCAAAAUAUAGAAGGAUCAUAUAAAACAUGGUCACUCCAUCUACAGCACCAGAACUGCAAAUCCAUGACAUUACUCAGUUCUGCAGCAUUUAGGAAAACUGAC